rnacentral:lncRNA from 1 species
UGGCAACAUCUUUUUGCAAUGUUUAAUAUUUGGAUCCAUGAACAUAAAAUUUGAACUUCCUAAUUUACUCCAUGAACACAAAAAACAAAUACUAUAAAACUAAUAUGGAAAAUAAACAUGACAAAACUAGUUUUUUCAAUUCAGUGUACCGCGCACACACGUGGGCAGCACAUCCACAAUUUCUUUUGGCUGACAUCAUAUGAAAGUGUUUGUUUAAUAACUGAUUUUUUCACCAAUGACCAGUAAAUCCGGUGUAUAGCUUAGUAGAACUUCACCGAUGCCGGCACAUAGCCCUUGUACAUGGCGUAGUUCCUGUUUCCCUGCAUUGAACUUCUUCAGCUGACACAACAAAGCGUCCACACACAGUUUUGUACCACUACACGAUAGGAGGGAAGCUUCUGACAUGCCUCAACUAAGAAGCACCGGCUGGGUUCUUCAUAUCCUGGGGAGAGUAAUUCUCAGGUGUCAAAUGCGACAAUUUACAUGAGUUGAUGGAGAGAGGAUUUGAGCUAUCGGUGGCAUAACCUUCAUAUCCGUAGAACAAACAAAUCAUAAGCAUAAGCAAUAGGCUGUUAUCAAGAAACAAAAAACAUGCUAGAGGUUGACAAAAAGAGGCGCCAUGGUUGCAGCCGAAGACGGUGUAGGUGGUUAGCCGCGCCGGUGACGCGCUGGAGGAAGGGAGUGUUGUCACCGACAGCGGGCGAUGAGGAAGUGAGCAGCUGCAGUGCAUGCGGGCCUGACUGGCUUCCAUACAUUAUGCAUUGUUGCUACCCAAAAUCAGAAAUAUCUGAAACAUGGAUGGGAUGGGAUGGAAGAAGUGCUACGCUGACCGUCACCUUCUGUUGUGGACUUCUGUUCGCGAUGGCCUCGACCUCCCUGACGCUACGGGGCUGGACUGUGAUGGUGUUGGGUCACUGUCAGCGCAAUUGGGACUUGGACGGUGCAUCUCUGCACACUUCCACCUCUGAAUGCUGUGCAG